CAAACUGGUCCCCUUUAAAUACCGGAGAGGAUGUUACCUUCAUAUGUGACUCAAGGGAAGGAAACAACACUGACUGGGAUUACUCAUUCAGUAGGAAUGGUUCUUUCUUUACCACCAACAGCAUAGUAUACAGAUAUAAAUUAUCAACUCUAAACAUGGGAAAUAGUGGUGAAUAUCAGUGUGUUGCUCAUCAGAAGAUCCAUCCCUACAGGAGAGAAUGUAAUAAAGUCUCUCUAACUGUAUCAGGGAAGCACGAGGAACCAGACGAGAGCUCAGUUUACUCGGAUGGGAGGAUUGCAUCAGCUGCAGAUAACAACGUGAUGUAUGCCCGGGUUCACCACCCACUGAAAAAAAGAGCAAUGAAG